ensembl:lncRNA
GGGGGGGGAAGAGGGCGGGGAGGGGAAGGCUCUUAAAAUCUCGGCUGCUCGCUGACCCGCGGGUACCGGGACCGGGAGGGAGAGGGGCGGACGACCGACAGACCGACCGAUUUCCCCCCCUCCGUCCCAACGGCCCCGCUCCGCCCGCCGCAGCGCAUGCUCCCGCCCCCACCUGCACAUUUAAACGGCGGCGGAGGCGCGGGCGCUGCACCGGGACCGGGCUGAGAGGCGUCUGCUGUGACCGAGUUCGACUUAAGAGCAACUGAGCGGAAGGUUUGGAGAGGGAGAGCUGAGCGUGCACCUCCUGAACCCCCCGAGGACCUGCGGGGACCUGUGAGCACCUAUGAGCGCAGGUCAGUGGAUGUUUAAAGCAAAGGAAGCCAGCACGUGGCAGGAGGAGGCGUUCAUUGCAGCUCACGGAGGGCUCUGCGUGGUUUUGCUGCUGUGCUGCGCUGCGUUGUGUCGUUCGGGUGUGUGGGGAGCGCACGGGGCUGCGUUGGGUGUAGUGUCAGCGGGUCACAGUGUGACUGCUCCGUGGAGUUCCCACCUUGGGCACGGCUGAGAGCUUUGGUGGUGCAGAUGCGUUCAUUGUGGCACUUAUCGGUCGUCCCGUGGGUGACAGCUUAAGGAGGAAGAGGAGAGCAAUAGGAUCGGGUAGGGCUUUCACUGCGGUGGCAGGCAGGCUUGGCAAGGUGCCGAGCUUUCAUGCUUGCGUUUAGAAUAACAACAAGACUGAUUCGGAGGGGGAACAUCUCAGCAACGAUUUUCCUGGUCCUCAUUCGGACCUCUCUGUGGACAGCACAGAGAAAGCAGCCAAGCUUGAGACAGAUCCGGGUCUGUUGCUGGUGUAGUCCUGCAUAUGGGCUCGGGAGAGAAGAGUGUGUGUGUGUGUGUAAUGUGAGAAUAAUCAGGGAUUUAUAGCAAUGGAACAUGAGUAAGAACUUCAAAAGCACCCAAAUGAUUUGGGCACCGAAAUCAUGCGGGCGCUCCUGAAAAACGUGUACCAGCCUUUAAACCAUUCCUAUUAUUCGCCCUGCCUGCAAUUUGCUUCUCGUUUUUGGUGAGCUGGACCUGCCCGACCCACAGCUCACGGUGCUGUCCCUCAGUGGGAGCGGUGCAGAGCUGAGAGCAGCAAUCCCUGCAGUGCCUUCAGCUCUGGAAGUUAUUUCUGCACAACGCUGUGGGAGCCAAGAGGGCUCAGCUUAUGGGAUUUGGAGGAAAAAAAAAAAAAAGGAUUAGAAACUUGAUAUGGAUAGCAAGAAUCUCUAGAAUUAAUAGGAAAUUAAAUGAGGGCUUUACAAGGAAUAUAAAUCCCUGUAUUUCGGGGCAUAAGCCAAUCUUAGGAUUUAGGAAGAAGCUUCUCCUUGUAAGGGGUUUUGCCCUGUGCUGUCUGCUGGUGGGUAUGUUGCCCUGCAGCUCGCUAUGUACAGAGCUGGUGUGGGGUCUUCUGUGGGAACAUCUCCUCUUCUGGAAGAGCUUCUGGUUGAGCAGCACUGAGCUCAAACCUCGUGGCUGUGCGUUGCAGCAGCCUGGAGAUACCUGAGCACAAAGCAGCAAUCCCACGGGCUGCUCUCUGAGCUUAUCAUCACUGUUACACAACAGAGCCAUAGCAGGUGCUGAGCGUAUUCCAGACAGCAUCUCUUUUGGAAGCUCAGAGCCUAUUGUUGCCAGCAGUGAGAGAUGCUGUGACUGCAGUGUGAGAAG